GCCCGGGUGGUGAAAUCGGUAGACACAAGGGAUUUAAAAUCCCUCGCUCGAAAGGGCAUGCCGGUUCAAGUCCGGCCCCGGGCACCA
rnacentral:tRNA from 2 species